rnacentral:rRNA from 1 species
CCUACGGGUGGCAGCAGUAGGGAAUAUUGCUCAAUGGGGGAAACCCUGACCCAGCAACGCCGCGUGGAGGAUGAAGGUCUUCGGAUUGUAAACUUCUUUUGUCAGGGAAGAAAAAGAUGACGGUAAAUGAUUAAUAAGCCGCGGAUAACGACGUACCAGCAGCCGCGGUAAUACGUAGGCGGCAAGCGUUAUCCGGAAUGACUGGGUGUAAAGGGGGAGUAGGGGGGAUAGCAAGUCAGAUGUGAAAUCCAAUGGCUCAACCAUGGUACUGCAUUUGAAACUGUUGUUCUUGAGUGUAGGAGAGGCAGGUGGAAUUCUUGGUGUAGCGGUGAAAUGCGUAGAUAUAAGGAGGAACACUAGUGGCGAAGGCGGCCUGCUAGAACAUAACUGACGCUGAUGCGCGAAAGCGUGGGGAGCAAACAGGAUUAGAUACCCGGGUAGUC